rnacentral:rRNA from 1 species
CCCCUAGAUGUUCUGGGCCGCACGCGCGCUACACUGAUUCAUGCAACAAGUUUUGUCCUUGGCUGAUAGGCCUGGGUAAUCUUUGAACGUGAAUCGUGAUGGGGAUAGAUGAUUGCAAUUAUUCAUCUUCAACGAGGAAUUCCUAGUAAACGCAAGUCAUCAGCUUGCAUUGAUUACGUCACUGCCCUUUGUACACACCGCCCGUCGCACCUACCGAUUGAAUGGUCCGGUGAAAUCUUCGGAUCUGAGAGAUGUCUGAUUAAUUUCGGACGCCUUUUGGAAAAGUUGUUUAAACCUUACCAUUUAGAGGAAGGUGAAGUCGUAACA